rnacentral:misc_RNA from 1 species
GAAAGCAUUAUUGAUUAGCAGCUAACACAAAAUCAUAAGCAGUCCUCAUGAACAGCAAGAGACUAAUGGACUUCUUAACUGGCUCCAUUGGCAUUUGAUGAUGAAAAACCUGCAAACUGAAGCUUGUAGCUGCAGCUUGAUGGCGAUUAUAAUUAUAGAGGUUAUUCUUGUAAUUUUUAGUUUGAAUAUAAAAAAAGUGGUUUUUAAGCAGUCGUUCUUGGUGGAGGUGAGUAGAUUUUGGUUUUAACAGAAAAACCGAACCAAACGAAUCUAAUUUAUUUUUUUUUUGGUUAGGCUUUUUGGUUUAUCGGUGAGGUUUCAAU